GACGAACGCUGGCGGCGUGCUUAACACAUGCAAGUCGAACGGAAAGGCCCUGCUUUUGUGGGGUGCUCGAGUGGCGAACGGGUGAGUAACACGUGAGUAACCUGCCCUUGACUUUGGGAUAACUUCAGGAAACUGGGGCUAAUACCGGAUAGGAGCUCCUGCUGCAUGGUGGGGGUUGGAAAGUUUCGGCGGUUGGGGAUGGACUCGCGGCUUAUCAGCUUGUUGGUGGGGUAGUGGCUUACCAAGGCUUUGACGGGUAGCCGGCCUGAGAGGGUGACCGGCCACAUUGGGACGGAGAUGCGGCCCGGACUCCAAGGGGAGGGAGCGGUGGGGAAUAGAGCACAAGGGGCGGGAGCCUGAUGCAGCAACGCCGCGUGGGGGAUGACGGCCUGGGGGUUGGAAACCGCUUUCGCCUGUGACGAAGCGUGAGUGACGGUAAGGGGUAAAGAAGCACCGGCUAACUACGUG
rnacentral:rRNA from 1 species